UACGUAGGGUGCAAGCGUUGUCCGGAAUCAUUGGGCGUAAAGCGCGCGUAGGCGGCCCGAUAAGUCCGCUGUAAAAGUCAACGGCUCAACUGUUGAAAGCCGGUGGAUACUGUCGGGCUAGAGUACGGAAGAGGCAAGUGGAAUUCCUGGUGUAGCGGUGAAAUGCGCAGAUAUCAGGAAGAACACCCGUGGCGAAAGCGGCUCUCUGGAACGGUACUGACGCUGAGACGCGAAAGCGUGGGGAGCGAACAGG
rnacentral:rRNA from 1 species